rnacentral:rRNA from 1 species
AAUACUGACGCUGAGAUGCGAAAGCGUGGGGAGCAAACAGGAUUAGAUACCUGGUAGUCCACACUGUAAACGAUGUCGAUUUGGAGUUUGGGGGCAUGACCCUUGGGCUCCGGAGCUAACGCGUUAAAUCGACCGCUGGGGAGUACGGCCGCAAGGUUAAAACUCAAAUGAAUUGACGGGGGCCCGCACAGCGGUGAAGCAUGUGGUUUAAUUCGAUGCAACGCGAAGAACCUUACCUGGUCUUGACAUCCAUAGAAUCUUUCAGAGAUGAGAGAGUGCCUUCGGGAGCUAUGAGACAGGUGCUGCAUGGCUGUCGUCAGCUCGUGUUGUGAAAUGUUGGGUUAAGUCCCGCAACGAGCGCAACCCCUAUCCUUUGUUGCCAGCACGUAAUGGUGGGAACUCAAAGGGGACUGCCGUUGAUAAAGCGGAGGAAGGUGGGGACGACGUCAAGUCAUCAUGGCCCUUACGACCAGGGCUACACACGUGCUACAAUGGCGUAUACAAAGGGAUGCGAAGGUGCGAACUGGAGCGGACCUCACAAAGUACGUCUAAGUCCGGAUUGGAGUCUGCAACUCGACUCCAUGAAGUCGGAAUCGCUAGUAAUCGUGAAUCAGAAUGUCACGGUGAAUACGUUCCCGGGCCUUGUACACACCGCCCGUCACACCAUGGGAGUGGGUUGCACCAGAAGUAGAUAGCUUAACCUUCGGGAGGGCGUUUACCACGGUGUGGUUCAUGACUGGGGUGAAGUCGUAACAAGGUAACCA